rnacentral:rRNA from 1 species
AGUGAACGCUGGCGGUAGGCCUAACACAUGCAAGUCGAACGGCAGCACAGUAAGAGCUUGCUCUUACGGGUGGCGAGUGGCGGACGGGUGAGGAAUACAUCGGAAUCUACUUUUUCGUGGGGGAUAACGUAGGGAAACUUACGCUAAUACCGCAUACGACCUACGGGUGAAAGCAGGGGAUCUUCGGACCUUGCGCGAUUGAAUGAGCCGAUGUCGGAUUAGCUAGUUGGCGGGGUAAAGGCCCACCGAGGCGACGAUCCGUAGCUGGUCUGAGUGGAUGAUCAGCCACACUGGAACUGAGACACGGUCCAGACUCCUACGGGAGGCAGCAGUGGGGAAUAUUGGACAAUGGGCGCAAGCCUGAUCCAGCCAUACCGCGUGGGUGAAGAAGGCCUUCGGGUUGUAAAGCCCUUUUGUUGGGAAAGAAAAGCAGCAGGUUAAUACCCCGCUGUUCUGACGGUACCCAAAGAAUAAGCACCGGCUAACUUCGUG